UGAAGCUCAGAGCAUUUGGGCUUAAGCCGGUUCAGCUCAGAGGUGGGUUUCGGAAGUCUGUGGCGGACCACCGCAGCAAGUCAUCACUCAGCGUACAAGCCUUUCCAUUUCUGAAAAUAUAAAGAACUUAAGCAUGCGGCGUUCGGAGUGUAGAUUGCUUUGAGGUAUUUCAAAGCAGCGCUGAUCAUGGGCAGAGGAGCUGAUAUGUGCAACAGAAACUACUCACUGGAACUCUUCUGGGCGUCUGUCCUCUGUAAUGCAAGUGUCUGCCCUCACUCUGGCGACUGUGCUGUUGGAACGCUGGUGCUCAUCUUUCACUGUCCUCCACAAAGCAUGCCUCAGGACUGUAGGCAGGCUGUUUAUGCCAUUGUAAGACUACCCCUGGGAAGGAGGGACAGACCUAAAAAAUUCACUAACAAUUCUGACUAAACUGUAGGAGCCUAGCAUAACUACCUUCUGAGAAGCUUUUCUUGAGAGCCAAUGCAAACAGAUGCAGAGAUCCACAACUAAACACUGGGGCGAGCUCUGGUAAUCUUGUGGAAGAGGAGAAGGAAGAAUGGAAGGAGCAAGAAAGGUCAAGGUCAUCAACCUGUCUCCUAACAUAGAGAAGAUUGGCAGCCAGAAAGACCUGGAUAUCCCACCUCCAUUGCCC
rnacentral:lncRNA from 1 species